rnacentral:tRNA from 1 species
GGGUGAUUAGCUCAGCUGGGAGAGCACCUCCCUUACAAGGAGGGGGUCGGCGGUUCGAUCCCGUCAUCACCCACCAC